rnacentral:rRNA from 1 species
AUGAACGCUGGCGGCGUGCUUAACACCUGCAAGUCGAACGAAGCAUUUGCGACAGAUUUUUUCGGAAUGACGUUGCUUAUGACUGAGUGGCAGACGGGUGAGUAACGCGUGGGUAACCUGCCUUGUACUGGGGGAUAGCAGCUGGAAACGGCUGGUAAUACCGCAUAAGCGCACAAUGUUGCAUGACAUGGUGUGAAAAACUCCGGUGGUAUAAGAUGGACCCGCGUCUGAUUAGCUAGUUGGUGAGAUAACAGCCCACCAAGGCGACGAUCAGUAGCCGACCUGAGAGGGUGACCGGCCACAUUGGGACUGAGACACGGCCCAGACUCCUACGGGAGGCAGCAGUGGGGAAUAUUGCACAAUGGAGGAAACUCUGAUGCAGCGACGCCGCGUGAGUGAAGAAGUAAUUCGUUAUGUAAAGCUCUAUCAGCAGGGAAGAUAGUGACGGUACCUGACUAAGAAGCUCCGGCUAAAUACGUG